rnacentral:rRNA from 1 species
AUUGAACGCUGGCGGCAUGCCUUACACAUGCAAGUCGAACGGCAGCAUGGGUGCGUGCACCUGAUGGCGAGUGGCGAACGGGUGAGUAAUGCAUCGGAACGUGCCCUGAAGUGGGGGAUAACGUAGCGAAAGUUACGCCAAUACCGCAUAUUCUGUGAGCAGGAACGAGGGGGAUCGCCAGACCUCUUGCUUUAGGAGCGGCCGAUGUCGGAUUAGCUAGUUGGUGGGGUAAAGGCCUACCAAGGCGGCGAUCCGUAGCGGGUCUGAGAGGAUGAUGCGCGACACUGGGACUGAGACACGGCCCAGACUCCUACGGGAGGCAGCAGUGGGGAAUUUUGGACAAUGGGCGAAAGCCUGAUCCAGCCAUGCCGCGUGAGUGAAGAAGGCCCUCGGGUUGUAAAGCUCUUUCGGUGGGGAAGAAAUUGCUUCGGCUAAUAUCCGGAGUAGAUGACGGUACCCGCAUAAGAAGCACCGGCUAACUACGUGCCAGCCGCCGCCGUAA